GACGAACGCUGGCGGCGUGCUUAACACAUGCAAGUCGAACGAUGAAGCAAAGAAUCGAAGCUUCGGCAGAAAUUCAUUUCGGAUUAGUGGCAGACGGGUGAGUAACGCGUGAGCAACCUACCUCUUACAAAGGGAUAGCCUCGGGAAACCGGGAUUAAUACCAUAUAACAUUGCGACGAAGCAUUUCGAUGCAAUCAAAGCUACGGCGGUAAGAGAUGGGCUCGCGUCCCAUUAACCGGAUGGUGAGGUAACGGCUCACCAUAGUGACGAUGGGUAACCGGCCUGAGAGGGUGAACGGUCACACUGGAACUGAGACACGGUCCAGACUCCUACGGGAGGCAGCAGUGGGGAAUAUUGCACAAUGGAGGGAACUCUGAUGCAGCGACGCCGCGUGAGUGAUGAAGGAAUUCGUUUCGUAAAACUCUGUUCUAUGGGAAGAAAAGGACUGUACCAUAGGAGAAAGCUCCGGCUAAAUACGUG
rnacentral:rRNA from 1 species